rnacentral:rRNA from 1 species
AUGACACCUAAGUUUGACUGUGUUAAAUCUUUUAUGGAUACCGAUGCUUUUCGUGGAUUUAGCGCUAAAUAUGGACUUGACUCUGAGAUAGUAGCUUCUUUCUGUGAAUCUUUUGCUGCUCACGUUGAUCUCCCUAAGGAGAAGUGGUUUAAAUAUGAUCCUACCAUUGAAGUAAAAGUAGUUGCACCUAUUACAGUUCAAGAAAAGACUAUCACUUAUAAUGAUCCUAUUGUUCCUACUACUUAUGUUGAGAAACCACCUUUCCCUGUUAGGAUAAAGGAUCAUGCUAAAGCUUCAACUGUUGUUCGUAAGAGUAAUACUAGAACAUAUACACCUCCUGAGCAAAUUAAAGUUGAACCUAGUAUUGCUAUGGUUAAAGAUCUCUUGGAUGAUAAUAUACAUAGACCUGUUAAUAUUGCUAGACCUGAUGCUAAUAUACAUAGACCUGUUGUAGGCAUGCCUGUUAUUUCUGUUAAAAUAGGAGAUCAUUGUUAUCAUGGCUUAUGUGAUAUGGGUGCUAGUGCUAGUGCAAUACCUCAUUCCUUAUAUGAAGAAAUUAUGCGUGAUAUUGCACCCACUGAAAUAGAAGGUAUUGAUGUUACUAUUAAGCUUGCCAAUAGAGAUACUAUUUCACCAGUUGGGAUUGUUAAAGAUGUUGAAGUCUUAUGUGGGAGAGUUAAAUAUCCUGCUGAUUUUCUUGUUCUUGGUUCCCCACAAGAUAGCUUUUGUCCCAUUAUAUUUGGCAGAUCCUUCUUGAACACUGUUAAUGCUAAGAUUGAUUGUGAAAAGGAUGUUGUUACAAUUGGCUUGGGGGGUAUGAAACAUGAGUUUAAUUUUGUUAAGUUCCGUAGACAACCCCAUGAUAAAGAAUUGCCUAGUAAGGAUGAAAUUAUUGGUCUUGCUUCUAUUGCCGUGCCUCCUAUUGAUCCGUUAGAACAAUAUUUUCUAGACCAUGAAAAUGAUAUGUUUAUGAAUGAAAGAAGGGAGAUAGAUGAAGUAUUCCUUCAACAGGGUCCUAUUUUGAAACACAACUUGCCUGUUGAAAUCCUAGGGGGUCCCCCUCCACCCAAGGGUGAUCCCGUGUUUGAGCUCAAACCUUUACCUGAUAAUCCUAAAUAUGCUUAUCUUGAUGAAAAGAAGAUAUAUCCUGUUAUUAUUAGCGCUAACCUUUCAGAGCAAGAAGAGGAAAGAUUAUUGAAAACUCUGAAGAAGCAUUGUGCUGCUAUUGGAUAUACCGUGGAUGAUCUUAAGGGCAUUAGUCACACUUUAUGCCAACACAAAAUUAAAUUGGACGAAGGCUCCAAACCAGUUAGAGAUCAUCAACAACAGUUAAAUCCUAAGAUGAAAGAAGUGGUAAGAAAGGAGAUACUAAAGCUCCUUGAGGCAGGUAUAAUUUAUCCCGUUGCUGAUAGUGAUUGGGUAAGUCCUGUCCAUUGCGUCCCUAAGAAGGGAGGUAUUACUGUUGUUCCUAAUGAUAAAGAUGAAUUGAUUCCGCAAAGAAUUAUUACAGGUUAA